UACAGAGGUCUCAAGCGUUGUUCGGAUUCAUUGGGCGUAAAGGGUGCGUAGGCGGCGCGGUAAGUCGGGGUGUGAAAUCUCGGAGCUUAACUCCGAAACUGCAUUCGAUACUGCCGUGCUUGAGGACUGGAGAGGAGACUGGAAUUUACGGUGUAGCGGUGAAAUGCGUAGAUAUCGUAAGGAAGACCAGUGGCGAAGGCGGGUUCU
rnacentral:rRNA from 1 species